CUAGCUGUCCCGUGGUACACUCAGAAUGCUGAAGGAGAACUUGCUGGAGGCAGACCCCGCGAACGGCAAGAACAGGAGCAGAUGACCGUCUCUGAAGUGCCGAGGCAGAGGCAGCAGCCGGACCCACACGCCCUGCUCCACUCCCACUUACGGGUGUGGGAGAAGCAUCAGAUCAGCAAAAUGACUGCGCCACCACCCAGCUCCUUAGCAGAGCAACCUCCACAGAAUACAGCUCAGAAAGAGGGGACGCCUGGGCUGCCAGAAAGAGUGGGGUGCAAACAUGUGCAAACCUCAACGAGUGCUGGCUGUGUGCAACAAAGCCCUGUGGAAAGUGGAGGGUGAUAAAGGCAAGGCAGACCUGAGUAUUGGGCAGUCGUAAUGAUCUGUGAGCCAGGAGGGGCGUGAUCAGGAGGAGGAUGGAAACACUGGCUAUCUUUGAAUUCUAAAUAUACUUGUUAAAAUUCUAAGAGUGACUAUUUUAAAAUAGAAAUAGAGCAUAUAACUUCCACUUAACUCUCCAAGGAAAAAAUAGAAUGUCAGACUGAGCCAGAGCCAUGGAAGAGUGCUCAGGCAGCGGGAGCUACACGUGCAAAGGCCCUGGGGAAGGAGGGAAGAGGCGCAUGCCUGGCACUGAUGUCAGUGCGGCUGGAGGCAGACGGGCGCAGAAAGGGGUCUGAGACGUGGCUGAAGGCAGCAGGACCAGACAGGAUGGGGCCUCAGGGCCGUGGUUCUGAGCUUCAUUCCAACAGCAGGAAAAGGGAGGCAUGUUUGUAACCUGCAGGGAGGCGGGAGCCAUGGACAGGAUUGCAUCUGUGACUUGCCAGCAUCCCGCCGGCUCCCAUGGGAGCAGACUGCCCUCAGGCCCCAGCGGAGGGAGGGAGAACAGACAGAACAAUUUUGGCCCCUGGACAUGGUGGCGGCAGGGGAGGUGGGCUGUGGCCUUCCAAGAAGAGGAGGAGACACCAGAGGUGGGCGCAGCAAGGCCGGGAGAAGGUUUCAUGAGAAACCAGCUCUGACACUGGUGGCACCUUGAUCUUGGACUUCCAGGCUCCAGAGCUGUGAGAAAAUAAAGGUCUAUCGUCUAAGCUGCCCAGGCUGAGGUCUUCUGUUACGCUCUGGAGUCCACGCACCUCCAUCUUGUUCUCCUGGGAGGCUGACUUGGGCUCCAGCCACCAUGCCGAGUGAACCAUGACAGAGGUGGCCCUCCAGCCCCCACUCGGGCACCCCGGCUGAUGCCAC
rnacentral:lncRNA from 1 species